rnacentral:rRNA from 1 species
AUUGAACGCUGGCGGCAUGCCUUACACAUGCAAGUCGAACGGUAACAGGUCUUCGGAUGCUGACGAGUGGCGAACGGGUGAGUAAUACAUCGGAACGUGCCCGAUCGUGGGGGAUAACGAAGCGAAAGCUUUGCUAAUACCGCAUAAGAUCUACGGAUGAAAGCAGGGGACCGCAAGGCCUUGCGCGAACGGAGCGGCCGAUGGCAGAUUAGGUAGUUGGUGGGAUAAAAGCUUACCAAGCCGACGAUCUGUAGCUGGUCUGAGAGGACGACCAGCCACACUGGGACUGGGACACGGCCCAGACUCCUACGGGAGGCAGCAGUGGGGAAUUUUGGACAAUGGGCGCAAGCCUGAUCCAGCCAUGCCGCAUGCAGGAUGAAGGCCUUCGGGUUGUAAACUGCUUUUGUACGGAACGAAAAGACUCUGGUUAAUACCUGGGGUCCAUGACGGUACCGUAAGAAUAAGCACCGGCUAACUACGUGCCAGCCGCCGCUGUAACAC